rnacentral:rRNA from 1 species
AACAAACGCUGGCGGCGUGCCUAAUACAUGCAGGUCGAACGGCAGCACAGAGGAGCUUGCUCCUUGGGUGGCGAGUGGCGGACGGGUGAGGAAUGCGUCGGAAUCUGCCUUUUUGUGGGGGUUAACGUAGGGAAACUUACGCUAAUACCGCAUACGACCUACGGGUGAAAGUGGGGGACCUUCGGGCCUCACGCAGAAAGAUGAGCCGACGCCGGAUUAGCUAGUUGGCGGGGUAAAGGCCCACCAAGGCGACGAUCCGUAGCUGGUCUGCGAGGAUGAUCAGCCACACUGGGACUGAGACACGGCCCAGACUGCGACGGGAGGCAGCAGUGGGGAAUAGUGGACAAUGGGCGCAAGCCUGGUCCAGCCAUGCCGCGUGUGUGAAGAAGGCCUUCGGGUUGUAAAGCACUUUUGUCCGGAAAGAAAUCCUUUCGAUUAAUACUCGGGAGGGAUGACGGUACCGGAAGAAUAAGCACCGGCUAACUUCGUGCCAGCCGCCGCUGUAAAAC